AAAAUGCGAUAAGUAAUGUGAAUUGCAGAAUUCAGUGAAUCAUCGAAUCUUUGAACGCACAUUGCGCCCGCCAGUAUUCUGGCGGGCAUGCCUGUUCGAGCGUCAUUUCAACCCUCAAGCUCAGCUUGGUGUUGGGACUCGCGGUAACCCGCGUUCCCCAAAUCGAUUGGCGGUCACGUCGAGCUUCCAUAGCGUAGUAAUCAUACACCUCGUUACUGGUAAUCGUCGCGGCCACACCGUAAAACCCCAACUUCUGAAUGUUGACCUCGGAUCAGGUAGGAAUACCCGCUGAACUUAAGC
rnacentral:misc_RNA from 1 species